rnacentral:rRNA from 1 species
AUUGAACGCUGGCGGAAUGCUUUACACAUGCAAGUCGAACGGCAGCACGGGGGCAACCCUGGUGGCGAGUGGCGAACGGGUGAGUAAUACAUCGGAACGUGCCCAGUCGUGGGGGAUAACGUAGCGAAAGUUACGCUAAUACCGCAUACGAUCUACGGAUGAAAGCGGGGGACCGUAAGGCCUCGCGCGAUUGGAGCGGCCGAUGUCAGAUUAGGUAGUUGGUGAGGUAAAGGCUCACCAAGCCGACGAUGUGUAGCUGGUCUGAGAGGACGACCAGCCACACUGGGGCUGAGACACGGCCCAGACUCCUACGGGAGGCAGCAGUGGGGAAUUUUGGACAAUGGGCGCAAGCCUGAUCCAGCCAUUCCGCGUGCAGGACGAAGGCCCUCGGGUUGUAAACUGCUUUUGUACGGAACGAAAAGGCUCUGGUUAAUACCUGGGGCUCAUGACGGUACCGUAAGAAUAAGCACCGGCUAACUACGUGCCAGCCGCCGCGGUAA